UUGUUUUGUUUUUUCUUUGGCCAGGAUAUUUUCCUCUCUGCUGUUCCACUGCUUUGACCCAUGUAACUGAUGUAUAGGCGAGAUUAUGGGUAGAUUUGAUGCUUUGGCUAGUGAGUGGGGUUCAGGCAGAGCCCUAGGAUCUUAGCAUUCUCAACUCCAGCACAGAAACUGCCUGUGGUGAGUAUAUGGCAGGUGUCACUGUGGGACAAUUAUGCUUUACUGAGCAGACGAGAGCAACAGAUUUGUGCAGGACAAGGUCCUGCCUCCCUCUUCAGGAUCAGAUCCAUCUGUCCCAAAUGGCGGUGACAGGUCUGAAAAUUGCCUUGUUCAGGCUUUGUGCGGGCACCUGUGAAGGUUGCACCGAUGUGAUGGAGAGCACCCUGAAGCCUCGCAAGAUGCAGCCUGCAUCAGCUUGUGUCUGAGUAGUGCCUACCCCAAGCACACCAGUGCCAAGUUCACCUUCCAGAUGUGAACAUGUGGAAGGGCAGAUAUGAAACCGAGAAGUCGAAAGUUAAGAUUCAGAUUCAGUGCCUUGUGUGGAGCCACUUGUUUCAUUGAUACUGCUUUCUGGGUCCUUACAUAAUAGAAGAUACAUAUGGAUUCCCUUCAGCCUAUUUUAUAAGAGCAUUUACUCUUCAUGAGGUCAUACCCUUAUGACCCAGUCAGAUCCCAUAUAGUGGACUGGAAGUGACAAGUGUUCUGAGUUCUGCUGUGAGCCUUCCUUGAUGGCUUUGUAUUGAGUGAGAAGAAAGAACUCUAGCAUUUCUUAGCUUCAGAAACUGGAUAUAGGACCUCAUGAAGCGAUUAAGUGUGACUGGAGACCUCAGGCUGCAAGGAGAUGAACCUUUUCCAUGAUCCACUGUUCGUGCCAGAACUCCAGUCUUCCUCUUCCA